UAAGCUCUUUCCCCCUUACUUGAAACAGGUGUUCAUGAAAAAAAUGCACAAAAUCCCGAACGAGAGGAAUAAUUCAUGAAGAAGGGGCAGGAUCCGUGGGUCAGAGAACACUGGACCAGUUUGGCCCACCCAAGGCAGAAGGCCUAUCUAUCUCCAUCGGAGUCCUCCAAGCACUUAGAAGUCUCUGUUCAUCUCCACCAUGAGACCACAGCUGGCCUUUGGCAGGACUCCAAGCACAAUCUGGUCAGCCUCGAUCUAGUUCAUGGAGGAGCCUCCGUAGAUCCUG